GACGAACGCUGGCGGCGUGCCUAAUACAUGCAAGUCGAGCGAUGCAGCGGAUGGGGGAGUAACGCGUGGGUAACCUGCCCUUCAGUCUGGGAUACCAUUUGGAAACAGAUGAUAAUACCGGAUACUAACGGAUGGACCUUGGAUGCAUUAGCUAGUUGGUACGGUAACGGCUUACCAAGGCGAUGAUGCAUAGCGGAGUGGAGAGAAUGAUCGGCCACAGUGGGACUGAGACACGGCCCAAACUCCUACGGGAGGCAGCAGUAGGGAAUCUUGCACAAUGGGAGAAAGUCUGAUGGAGCAACGCCGCGUGAGUGAAGAAGGUUUUCGGGUUGUAAAGUUCUGUUGUUGGAGAAGCGGUAAUCAACCAGAAAGUCACGGCUAACUACGUGCCAGCAGCCGCGGUAAUUC
rnacentral:rRNA from 1 species